ACGGCCAACGGCAGUAGGGCUCAAGUCUCCGCUGGAAGGCAGGGGACACGAAAUGUUCCGCCUAAUGAUGUUGCUAGCGGGGCUCCGUGGCUUGCUAACGUCAAGACCCGGUUUUCAAAAUUCAUUUCUACAAAUUAUAUUUCCAGAGAAAAUCCAAGCAAAUACAAGUGAUAAUUCAAAAGUAGAAAAUGAACAGGUAUCCUAUAUUAUUCCAAUAGAUGAGAAACCGUAUACCGUACACCUUAGGCAAAGAUUUUUUUUAGCAGAUAAUUUCAUGGUUUAUUUGUAUAAUCAAGGAUCUGUGAAUUCUCAUUCUUCAAAUAUUCAGACUCAAUGCUACUACCAAGGAUAUGUUGAAGGAUAUCUGAAUUCUGUUGUCACACUUAGCACAUGCUCUGGACUGAGAGGAAUAUUACAGUUUGAAAAUCUUUCUUAUGGAAUUGAGCCCCUGGAAUCUGCAGUUGAAUUUCAGCAUCUUCUUUAUAAAUUAGGAAAUGAAAACAAUGAAUUUGCAGUUCUUGCUGAAAAUAACCAAGGCACAGAACAAAACCCAAUGGACUAUAAUAUUUUUAUAAGUGAAAAGCCAGAAUCAGCUGUUCCAGAUUUAAUUCCUCUUUAUCUAGAAAUGAAUAUCGUGGUGGACAAAGCUUUGUAUGAUUACCUGGGCUCUGAUAGCAUGAUAAUAACAAAUAAAGUCAUCGAAAUUAUUGGCCUUGUAAAUUCAAUGUUUGCCCCAUUUAAAAUUACUAUUGUGCUGUCAUCUUUGGAAUUGUGGUCAGAUAAAAAUAAGAUCUCUACUGUUGGUGAGGCACAUGAAUUGUUGUAUACAUUUUUAGAAUGGAAAAAGUCUUAUCUUACCCUAAGACCUCAUGAUAUUGCAUAUCUGUUCAUCUAUAGAGAUUAUCCAGAUUAUGUGGGAGCAGCAUUUCCUGGAAAGAUGUGUGUUACCAGUUAUUCUGCAGGAAUUGCUUUGUAUCCCAAGGGGAUAACUUUGGAGGCAUUUUCAGUUAUUGUCACCCAGAUGCUGGGACUCAGUCUGGGCAUAUCAUAUGAUGACCCAAGGAAAUGUCGAUGUUCAGGAGCCAUCUGCGUAAUGAGUCCAAAAGCCAUGCAAUCCAGUGGUGUGAAGACUUUUAGCAGUUGCAGUUUGAGUGACUUUGAAAAUUUCAUUUCAAAUAUGGGUGCCCAGUGUCUUCAGAAUAAGCCACAAAUGCAGAGGGCUCCGGCAACAAUCUGUGGCAACGGCAGAGUGGAAGGAAAUGAAAUCUGUGACUGUGGUACUGAGGAACAAUGUGGACCUGAUAGCUGUUGUAAUCCUCAAACUUGUGUGCUGAAACCAAAUACACAAUGUGAUAGAGGAUCAUGCUGCAACAACUGUCAAUUUAUGCAAGCAGGUGCUGUAUGUAGGCCCGUUGCACAUCCUGAAUGUGAUGUUUCUGAGGUUUGUAAUGGAAGCUCAGGAAGCUGUCCGGCUGAUAUAACUAUACACAAUGGACACAAAUGUAAAGGAGGAAAAGCUUUUUGUUUUGAUGGAGGCUGCCAAGAUCUUGAUGCACGUUGUGAGAGCAUAUAUGGAAAAGGUUCAAAAAAUGCUCCAUUUGCCUGCUAUGAAGAAAUACAGUCUCAAACUGAUAGGUUUGGGAACUGUGGUAGAGAAGGAAACAGAUAUAAAUUUUGUGCAUGGAGGAAUCUUAUAUGUGGCAGAUUAAUUUGCACCUACCCCUUUCAAACUCCUUUCCUUCGAGACGGUGCUUCUGUGAUUUAUGCUUUUGUACGAAAUACUGUAUGUAUAACUAUGCACUACACAACGACGAGUGGAGAAGAUCCAAUGAUUGUCAAAAAUGGCUCUAUUUGUGAUACUGGGAGGAUUUGUGUAAAUCGUGAAUGUGUGGAAUCAAGGAUACUUGCAGACAGAUCGUAUAGUUGUUCACUAAAGUGCAAUGGACAUGGAAUCAGAAGGCAGCUCUCACAGAAAUGCUAGCAGGUCCACAACAGAAAGUAGUAGCCAAAAAGAUACUGUCAGAUCGAGUUCAGAAAGUAGUGACCAAACAAAUACCAGCACAUAAGCGACAUAAGACAUGUUUCUUGUAAUAACUAAUAAUUCCUUCAGAAGGCAAUGGAUAUUACUGGCGAUCUCAUUGAGAAAUGAAAAUGCAGCCUUUUCUCCCCUGGUCACAGCUGAAGGAAGCAAUAAACCAAGAUGGACCAAUUUGCAGGAGCGUCUGUUUUUAUUUCUUCCUCCACCCCUGAGGCGCAGUUUUGUCAUUUCAGGGCCCUUGACUGCAGAUAGUCAGUCUCAACUCCCACUGACUCCCUGAGCUCUUCUCCACAGCUCUUUCUACCACCCACUCGGAUUUACUGCCUGGGGCCCCAGAUGCUGGGGUUCUACAUCAACUGCUCUCACUCAGGAAAGGAUCUGGGCGUGGACUGUGUUCCUUCUCCGGGUCCUUCUCACUGGACUUGGCUGGCUGCAUGCAGAUCUCAGUGAAUACAGCCAUUUGACCACCUCACCCUCUCCACAACCACAGAACCAGGGCUUCUCAGGGAAGCUGUGCUCCUUCUGCGGACUGUGCUUUACCUUCCAGGCCUCUCCCUCUGCUUACCACCUUUCUCUUGCCCCUCAGCUGGGUGACCUGCAGGGUGAAUCCCAGAAGGCAGAAGGACCCAGAGAGCUUGGGCUUCGGUCUCAGGGGCAAAGAUUAAUCCCUUAUCAGAGUUUGGUAUGAAGAUCGAUAAAUCGAGUUGGGAAAAAUAUCUCUCAUUUUCCAUUUUC